AAAUUGAAGAGUUUGAUCAUGGCUCAGAUUGAACGCUGGCGGCAGGCCUAACACAUGCAAGUCGAACGGUAGCACAGAGAGCUUGCUCUCGGGUGACGAGUGGCGGACGGGUGAGUAAUGUCUGGGAAACUGCCUGAUGGAGGGGGAUAACUACUGGAAACGGUGGCUAAUACCGCAUAACGUCGCAAGACCAAAGAGGGGGACCUUCGGGCCUCUUGCCAUCAGAUGUGCCCAGAUGGGAUUAGCUAGUUGGUGAGGUAACGGCUCACCAAGGCGACGAUCCCUAGCUGGUCUGAGAGGAUGACCAGCCACACUGGAACUGAGACACGGUCCAGACUCCUACGGGAGGCAGCAGUGGGGAAUAUUGCACAAUGGGCGCAAGCCUGAUGCAGCCAUGCCGCGUGUAUGAAGAAGGCCUUCGGGUUGUAAAGUACUUUCAGCGGGGAGGAAGGUGUUGUGGUUAAUAACCGCAGCAAUUGACGUUACCCGCAGAAGAAGCACCGGCUAACUCCGUGCCAGCAGCCGCGGUAAUACGGAGGGUGCAAGCGUUAAUCGGAAUUACUGGGCGUAAAGCGCACGCAGGCGGUCUGUCAAGUCGGAUGUGAAAUCCCCGGGCUCAACCUGGGAACUGCAUUCGAAACUGGCAGGCUUGAGUCUUGUAGAGGGGGGUAGAAUUCCAGGUGUAGCGGUGAAAUGCGUAGAGAUCUGGAGGAAUACCGGUGGCGAAGGCGGCCCCCUGGACAAAGACUGACGCUCAGGUGCGAAAGCGUGGGGAGCAAACAGGAUUAGAUACCCUGGUAGUCCACGCCGUAAACGAUGUCUACUUGGAGGUUGUGCCCUUGAGGCGUGGCUUCCGGAGCUAACGCGUUAAGUAGACCGCCUGGGGAGUACGGCCGCAAGGUUAAAACUCAAAUGAAUUGACGGGGGCCCGCACAAGCGGUGGAGCAUGUGGUUUAAUUCGAUGCAACGCGAAGAACCUUACCUGGUCUUGACAUCCACAGAACUUUCCAGAGAUGGAUUGGUGCCUUCGGGAACUGUGAGACAGGUGCUGCAUGGCUGUCGUCAGCUCGUGUUGUGAAAUGUUGGGUUAAGUCCCGCAACGAGCGCAACCCUUAUCCUUUGUUGCCAGCGGUCCGGCCGGGAACUCAAAGGAGACUGCCAGUGAUAAACUGGAGGAAGGUGGGGAUGACGUCAAGUCAUCAUGGCCCUUACGACCAGGGCUACACACGUGCUACAAUGGCGCAUACAAAGAGAAGCGACCUCGCGAGAGCAAGCGGACCUCAUAAAGUGCGUCGUAGUCCGGAUUGGAGUCUGCAACUCGACUCCAUGAAGUCGGAAUCGCUAGUAAUCGUGGAUCAGAAUGCCACGGUGAAUACGUUCCCGGGCCUUGUACACACCGCCCGUCACACCAUGGGAGUGGGUUGCAAAAGAAGUAGGUAGCUUAACCUUCGGGAGGGCGCUUACCACUUUGUGAUUCAUGACUGGGGUGAAGUCGUAACAAGGUAACCGUAGGGGAACCUGCGGUUGGAUCACCUCCUUACCUUAAAGAAGC
rnacentral:rRNA from 1 species